UGCAGUCGACGGCAGCAUAGGAGCUUGCUCCUGAUGGCGAGUGGCGAACGGGUGAGUAAUAUAUCGGAACGUGCCCUAGAGUGGGGGAUAACUAGUCGAAAGACUAGCUAAUACCGCAUACGAUCUACGGAUGAAAGUGGGGGAUCGCAAGACCUCAUGCUCCUGGAGCGGCCGAUAUCUGAUUAGCUAGUUGGUGGGGUAAAAGCCUACCAAGGCAACGAUCAGUAGCUGGUCUGAGAGGACGACCAGCCACACUGGGACUGAGACACGGCCCAGACUCCUACGGGAGGCAGCAGUGGGGAAUUUUGGACAAUGGGGGCAACCCUGAUCCAGCAAUGCCGCGUGAGUGAAGAAGGCCUUCGGGUUGUAAAGCUCUUUUGUCAGGGAAGAAACGGUAGUAGCGAAUAACUAUUACUAAUGACGGUACCUGAAGAAUAAGCACCGGCUAACUACGUGCCAGCAGCCGCGGUAAUACGUAGGGUGCAAGCGUUAAUCGGAAUUACUGGGCGUAAAGCGUGCGCAGGCGGUUGUGUAAGUCAGAUGUGAAAUCCCCGGGCUCAACCUGGGAAUUGCAUUUGAGACUGCACGGCUAGAGUGUGUCAGAGGGGGGUAGAAUUCCACGU
rnacentral:rRNA from 1 species